AUGUCAUUGCUUCUUUUUUCGAAAUGAAAGUCAUUACGUAAUGGGCUUGAUCGUUUGGCAUGGGGUUGGGCUUUGGACUUGGUAUGUUCGAGAGAAACGAAGGUCGUCUUUUUCUUUUAACAACUAAGAAGGUCGUCUCUCUUCUACCUGCGACGGCGCCCGAUGCUGUUUGGGAUUCUUUUCACCGUCUGAAACGAUCUGCGUAAAGUGUUCUUCACGGGGUGAUAAACAGAGCAACAGAUAGAGGAAUAAAACCUCUUCAUGUGGCUGCUCUAAAGCGACACAUAGAGAGGAUGCAGUUAUUCUUGGAUUUGGGAGCUUUUGUUGCUCAUAUCACUAGAAGAUGGAACCUCAAUAGAUUUUAUAGGUUUAUCUGCAUACUGUGGAGAUUCUGAAAAGUACAUAAUAAAACUGUCACAGGUUGCUGAAAAUAUAUAUAUUCCUACUUUCACAUCUGGAAAGCAUGAAGUUCUCAAUUUUUGAGGUUGUAUUUCCCCAUCUGAGAAAAAAGUGUGUGAGGGUGUAGCAAUAUGGUAGAAGUUUGCUGGAGGGAUUUACAAAGACUCAGAUGAGAAGUUUUGAGGUCACAAAAGGAGAGAUAACUCCAGCUGGAACAACAAGGGAGUAGAAACAAAGUAAUUGAGUAGGAGAGAAUGGAAAGCUUUCAAAUACACAGAUUUUCUUCUGAUGAUUCAGAAGAGAAAUGUAGACGACGCUUGCUACCUCGGCGAUCCAACGGUCCAUGAGUUCCAAGAAGCUUGCUCUGAGCACCACCUCCUGAAAGGCUAAGGCGUUGGAGGACAAGCCUUCUUGACCAAUGGUCCUUGCUUCUCACCUGAUGUCUCUAACUACAAGAAGUCAGAGUACCCUCACUCUCACCAGACUAAUAUGUUCGGUCUGCACGGCGCCGUUGCGAUACGCCUGAGAUGCAUCCACACUGGGGAUGCUGAUUUCGUCUUGGAGUUUUUUUUGCCUAAGGACUGUGAUAAUAUGGAGGAGCAGAGGAAAAUGUUGAACGCUCUUUUGACCAUUAUGGCUCAUGUGCCUAGGAGCUUGAGGACUGUUACGGAUAAGGAGCUCGAAGAAGAGAGUGAAGUGGUGGAAAGGGAGGAGGUAGUGACGCCUAAGAUAGAGAACACAUCAGAGCUACAUCAUAGUAAUCCUCAGAAUCUUGGAUUUGUGUUUGAUGGAGGAGACAAGCUGCCAAAUGAUGGUUUUGGUUUGAAAAGAGGUUAUCACUACACUAAAGAUACUAAUAUCAAUGAGAGCAACACUUUUCACCAGUGGUGGUUUUAAUAGUAUGGCUGAGAAGAAGCGUACAAAGGCAGAUAAAACCAUCACUUUGGAUGUUCUUAGACAGUACUUCGCUGGGAGUCUUAAAGAUGCAGCCAAGAGUAUUGGUGUGGUAUUGUUGUGUCGAUGGUGAUGCAAUAUGCAGAGAAUAUUGUAAAGGUAAGAAACUGGCAAAUGCAUAUUCAGUUCGCCAGCAGAUUCCCUUAAGUAGUAGUCACUUUUGUAUAUAAGGUUUAACGUUUAUCAAUAUGUACGUAGGUUUAUUCAACAUUAGUGCCACUGCUUCUCACUGCAGUUGUCUUUGUAUACUUAUUCAGUUUUCAUGUUUCAUUAACCUUCUUCCUGGGCUCAAGUAAGUUAACUGCAUUUGCCUCUGUUCUGUCAAUACAAUCCAUCUAACCAUUUCACAUAAAGUAGCCUAACAUACGAGCUGAUGUUUACUGUGUUCGCACUUUGCAGGAGAUGUGAAAUGGUCUACUGGAAUCUUUUAGGAUGAAAUGUAUAUAUUGUUAUGUAAUUUUUUUGUCCUAUUGAUAUGUAAAGCAAAACAAAGGAGUUUGCGUAUGAGAGAGAGAGAGAGAAGAGAGAGAGAGAGA